ACAUGGAGCGAGAAGUCAGCGCUCUCAGGAGGCCGACAGACCUCACAGAAGAAAGAGAGAGAAAACAUACACCUGUGACGAGUGUGGGAAGGAUUUUACUGGGAAGGCUGAACUAAAACGUCAUCAGGUCAUCCACACUGGAGAGAGACCGUUCAGCUGUGACAUUUGUGGAAAAACCUUCAACCGGAUAGGGAACCGAAAUAGACACCUACGCAUUCACACCGGACAUGUGUACUGCUGUGAUCAGUGUGGCAAACAGUUUAUAACCAACACGCAGUUACAACGCCACGUUUACCCACACUGAGGAGAGACCUCAUAAAUGUGACCUGUGUGAGAAGACUUUUAAAUCUCCACAUCACCUGAGACGACACCAACAGAUCCACACCAGAAAGAGACUCUACAAGUGCAGUUACUGUGAGAAGCAGAGCGACACAGAUGGAUCCAGUUCUCAACCCUGUCAUCACUGUGGUGGUGGGAAAGAGUUUCAGUUGGCAAGCUGACCUAAAAAAAAUAUCAACAUAAACACACUGGACACAAACUGAACUACUGCAAAGAAUGUGGGAGAAGCUUCACCACAUCAAGUAGAUUAAAACGACAUGAGCUCAUUCACAGUGGGACCAAAAAGCACCUCUGUGAUCAGUGUGGGUCAUCUUUCAUUACUGCAAGUGGGCUUAAAACACACAAACGAGUCCACACAGGAGAGAAACCAUACAAGUGCAGAAACUGUGACAAAAGCUUCUCAAAAUCAACUAAUCGUAGCCGUCAUGAACGUACACACAUGGAAGGAAACUACAGCUGUGACAAGAGCUUCAGGAAUCUCAGUUCAUACUCCAAUCACAAAGGGUCAGACUUAAAUCCCUUGAGAUCAGGCUCCACAGAGUUCAGAUUGAAUCUCCUGUAAAGAUCUGAUGAGGCAACAUCUUAUAUCCAGGUAGGACAAAACAUUCACUCAUCUUUAAAGAUUAUAACAAAUCUGAGAUCUCGUUGAUCAGAACCAAUUAUUUAAAAUUCCCUCCAAAUUUAAAGAAGUCCAUUUUAAAACUACAAAAAAUAUUUACCCCUCCAAUGAAUUUAUGAGAGACAGGUUUAAAUUUGUGUUAGACAACUGUUAUAUUUGUAAAACAACUUCGGAAACAACAGAGCACAUGUUUUAUGGAUGUGUGACAGUCCAGAACUUAUGGAAAUCCCUCCAUGUCCUAAUAUUGUCCCAGUAUGGAAAUAUUGAUUUUUGGUCUUUUCAAAAUAUUCAAAUUGGAGUAAUCCUUAAGGACAAAAAUACUGAGUUUUUAGUUAACAAAGUAUUACAUUCGUA